AUAUAUGGGAAAUGGGAAACCAUUGCUAUGUUGUAUUGUUUUCUUUACUGUGACGUCAUAGCCCAAAUUUUGGCAGUUCAUCAAUCUAAGCGAGUAGAGAGCUCAACAGCGAAAUCUUCUCAACCGUGUGCUCAAUCGCUUUGGAAAUACCGAGCUAUAAGCACUGCCUGUUCUUUAUUGGAAUGAACUUAAUCACCGACUAAAUGUGCAGGCUACAGUACUCUACGGCUUCAUGUGAACAAAUUGUAUGAUUCAAAGGAUAAAAGAUGAGAGACCUUGCCAGCAAAACACCGUGAAUACGAGUCUCCUACUUCGACGUGAAGAUGUCUUGUACAGACUGGUUUUAUUUAUUCAAGAUAUUCGAUUUCUAUACGUUCAGUUCAUAUCAUCUGAUAUUCACAAAGCAGCAAUCAUGAAAGACACUUGCAAGAAUUUCGAACGACGGACAGAACUGCACGCCACGUGCUAAAAAGAAAUUGUUCGAAGCAGCUGAAUUUGUAAACCAACUUUUAUAGGCAAAAAAUUUGUGAUGGAAAAGAACAGCUCUAGGAUAUCAGAAGAGAUGAAACUUAAGUUGGUCAACUGAGCAGUCUCCCGUUUGUACAAAAUGAUAUCCAGUUAACUAAAACAAGGCAUGCGAGGCGGCAGGCUAGUUCUGGAAAUUUGCUCCCCGACUAAACGGGGAAUACUAAAACGGGAACAGGGUUAGGAAUCAUGUUUUCCUGAUUAUCGGAGCCCGUGCUCCGAGCAAUGAAGGUCUCAGCGGUUGUCAUGGCAUUGCAUUCUUCUUAUUGUGUCCAGGCUACGACCGCGCUCAGGAAACCGACCGUUUGUCAGGACCCUAGCUAGAAGAACGAUAAAUUUCGACUUUGCAGCGACAAAUUGCAGGAAAAUUCUGGCCUUUUGAAUUAUUUUCUACGAAAGAUGUGUUAGAAAUUAUUCUUCUAUGGCAUAUAGGAUUUUGAAAGCUGUGCGUUUUCUGUCGGAAAAGUUGCCUCGAAGAGUAGUGGAAGUUGUGAUUGCCGUGGACCUUCCUACCCUGUUGUAUUUUAUUACGAGUGGGGAGGAGGUGAACAGAGAUGAAGGAGGAAAAUCGCGUAAAUUGUUAUGAAUCACGGCUAUAACAGAACCAGCUCAAUCUACGACAACAACUUCAAUAAAUUGGCUUUAUUACAGAUAUAUUCAUUACUCAAAUUAAAGAUAAUAUUCGAUACACGAA